CCCAGACUCCUACGGGAGGCAGCAGUGGGGGAUAUUGCACAAUGGGGGAAACCCUGAUGCAGCAACGCCGCGUGAGUGAAUAAGUAUUUCGGUAUGUAAAGCUCUAUCAGCAGGGAAGAGAAUGACGGUACCUGACUAAGAAGCCCCGGCUAACUACGUGCCAGCAGCCGCGGUAAUACGUAGGGGGCGAGCGUUAUCCGGAUUUACUGGGUGUAAAGGGAGCGUAGACGGCUGGUCAAGUCUGAAGUGAAAGCCCGGGGCUUAACCCCGGAACGGCUUUGGAAACUGAGCAGCUAGAGUGCUGGAGAGGUAAGCGGAAUUCCUAGUGUAGCGGUGAAAUGCGUAGAUAUUAGGAGGAACACCAGUGGCGAAGGCGGCUUACUGGACAGUAACUGACGUUGAGGCUCGAAAGCGUGGGGAGCAAACAGGAUUAGAUACCCCGGUA
rnacentral:rRNA from 1 species